rnacentral:rRNA from 1 species
GCGACCCCAGGUCAGACGGGACUACCCGCUGAGU